GACGAACGCUGGCGGCGUGCUUAACACAUGCAAGUCGAACGGAAAGGCCCUGCUUUUGUGGGGUGCUCGAGUGGCGAACGGGUGAGUAACACGUGAGUAACCUGCCCUUGACUUUGGGAUAACUUCAGGAAACUGGGGCUAAUACCGGAUAGGAGCUCCUGCAGCAUGGUGGGGGUUGGAAAGUUUGGGCGGUUGGGGAUGGACUCGCGGGUGAUCAGCUGGUUGGUGGGGUAGUGGCUUACCAAGGGUUUGACGGGUAGGCGGCAUGGGAGGGUGGACGGCGACAAGGGGACUGAGGGACGGCCCAGACUCCUACGGGAGGCAGCAGGGGGGAACAUGGCACAAUGGGCGGAAGCCUGAGGCAGCAACGCCGCGUGCGGGAAGACGGCUUUCGGGUUGUAAACCGCUGUCGCCUGAGACGAAGCGGGAGUGACGGUAAUGGGUAAAGAAGCACCGGCUAACUACGUG
rnacentral:rRNA from 1 species